rnacentral:rRNA from 1 species
AACGAACGCUGGCGGCGUGGAUAAGACAUGCAAGUCGGACGGGAUUACUUUUGGUAGCAAUACCGAAAGUGAUUCAGUGGCGAACGGGUGCGUAACACGUGGGCAAUCUACCGAGAAGUGGGGGAUAGCUCGCCGAAAGGCGAAUUAAUACCGCAUGUGAUCAGAGGCGACAUCGCUUCGAAAUCAAAGGUGGCGCAAGCUACCGCUUUUUGAGGAGCCCGCGGCCUAUCAGCUUGUUGGUGAGGUAACGGCUCACCAAGGCAUUGACGGGUAGCUGGUCUGAGAGGACGACCAGUCACACUGGGACUGAGACACGGCCCAGACACCUACGGGUGGCAGCAGUCGAGAAUUUUUCUCAAUGGGGGAAACCCUGAAGGAGCGACGCCGCGUGGAGGAUGAAGGUCUUCGGGUUGUAAACUCCUGUCAUUUGGGAACAAGGUGUGCGCGUUAACUGCGCGCGCAUUGAUAGUACCAGAAGAGGAAGAGACGGCUAACUCUGUGCCAGCAGCCGCGGUAAUACAGAGGUCUCAAGCGUUGUUCGGAUUCAUUGGGCGUAAAGGGUGCGUAGGCGGCGCGGUAAGUCGGGUGUGAAAUUUCGAGGCUUA